AAUGCACUUUUCUGUGAAUGUGAGUAAUGAACUAAUUGUCUCCAGUAGAUGCCAAUCUAGUAAUGAUAGACAGGGUAGUCUCUACAAUCUGUAAGUGCCUCUCUAAAAAUAAGCUGAGAGACUUCUCUUGGUAGCAACAGAUAGGCCCUUCUGCUAUUCACCUACACAGUACAAAGAAUUAAGUAGGUUUGGACCUCAAUUAAGGUUUGGACCUUAUCUCUCGCAUGUUGGUAAGAUGUUGGUAACCUAAUGGCCUUGAGAGUUAGAAGGAUGGAAGCUAUCAGAGAGUUUCAAAACAGAAACAGUGAAACACUACUCCUUUCCUAGUGAAUACAUGCUGCUCUUUCCUAUCCCGCUCUUCAGGGUAGUGUUGCGUUCAAAGGAGAAAUGGGAAUUCCAGGGGACCCAGGAAUACCAGGUCUUCCAGGAGACAAAGGACUUCCUGGACCUCCUGGAUUUGGUCCGCAAGGUUCACCUGGUGAAAAGGGCAUCCAAGGUGUAUCAGGUCGUCCGGGACCUCCCGGAGUUCCUGGUCCAAAAGGGGAACCUGGUCAGACUGUUACAGAACCAGGAGUACCUGGCCCCCCUGGUCCUUCAGGCAGAAACGGUGACCCAGGUCUUCCAGGGGAUCCCGGUCAGCCAGGUCAGCGUGGCCUGCCAGGCAUCCCAGGUGCAAAGGGAGAGCCAGGUAUUCCUGGCAUUGGACUUCCAGGUCCACCAGGCCCAAAAGGUAUGUUUGCAGCCAAGUAUUGGCUAAAAGUGGGGACGCUUGGAGAGUUGCACCUCUUCACUUGG
rnacentral:lncRNA from 1 species